GGAAGUCUGGUGCCAGCAGCCGCGGUAAUUCCAGCUCCAAUAGCGUAUAUUAAAGUUGUUGCAGUUAAAAAGCUCGUAGUUGAAUUUCGGGAUCAAUAUUUCGGUCAUGCCGUUGGUAUGCACUGUUAUCAUUGAUUUCUCACCUUCUAAAGAACCAUAAUGCCAUUAAUUUGGUGUUACGGGGAAUUAGGACUGUUACCUUGAAAAAAUUAGAGUGUUUAAAGCAGGCUCACGCUUGAAUACAUUAGCAUGGAAUAAUGAAAUAGGACAUCCGAUUCUAUUUUGUUGGUUUCCAGGAUCGAUGUAAUGAUUAAUAGGGAUAGUUGGGGGCAUUAGUAUUCAAUUGUCAGAGGUGAAAUUCUUGGAUUUAUUGAAGACUAACUACUGCGAAAGCAUUUGCCAAGGAUGUUUUCAUUAAUCAAGAACGAAAGUUAGGGGAUCGAAGACGAUCAGAUACCGUCGUAGUCUUAACCAUAAACUAUGCCGACUAGGGAUCGGAUGAUGUUAAUUUUUUAAUGACUCAUUCGGCGCCUUACGGGAAAC
rnacentral:rRNA from 1 species